UGCGGUGAUUAUAUCGCAGGGGAAACGCCCGGUUCCAUCCCGAACCCGGAAGCUAAGACCUGUUGAGCCGAUGGUACUGCACUGGGGACGGUGUGGGAGAGUAGGUUAUCGCCGCAU
rnacentral:rRNA from 1 species